AGCGAACGCUGGCGGCAGGCCUAAAACAUGCAAGUCGAACGCCCGUAGCAAUACGGGAGUGGCAGACGGGUGAGUAACACGUGAGCAACCUACCCUCAACUUCGGGAUAAGCCUCGGAAACGGGGUCUAAUGCCGGAUAUCACUUUCCACCUCAUGGUGGGGGGUUGAAAGUUCUGGCGGUUGGGGAUGGGCUCGCGGCCUAUCAGCUUGUUGGUGGGGUAAUGGCCUACCAAGGCGUCGACGGGUAGCCGGCCUGAGAGGGCGACCGGCCACACUGGGACUGAGACACGGCCCAGACUCCUACGGGAGGCAGCAGUGGGGAAUAUUGGACAAUGGGCGCAAGCCUGAUCCAGCGAUGCCGCGUGUGUGAAGAAGGCCU
rnacentral:rRNA from 1 species